AACGAACGCUGGCGGCAUGCCUAACACAUGCAAGUCGAACGAACCCUUCGGGACUUUUGGCGCACGGGUUUGUAACGCGUGGGAACCGUCCCAUAGGGUUGACAUAACUCUCCGACAGGGGUACUAAUAGCGGCUAAUGUCUACGGACCAAAGAUUUAUCGACCUUGUAUGUACACGCGUUGGAUUAGCUAGUUGGUAGGGUAAAAGCUUACUAAGGCGACGAUUCAUAGCUGGGUUCAGAGGCGGAUUAGCCACACUGAGACUGAGACACGGCCCGGACUCCUACGCGAGGCAGGAGUGGGGAAUAUUGCACCACGGGCGAAAGCAUGAUCCACCUAUGACGCGUGAGUGAUGAAGGCCUUAAGGUUGUAAAGCUCUUUUACCCGGGAUCAUAAUGACAGUACCGAGAGAAUAAGCUCCGGCUAACUCCGUG
rnacentral:rRNA from 1 species